CAGAGCUUCAAUCACAGUUGCUCCCCCAAAGGAAUGCCCCACGGCUGCUAUCCUACACAGAUCCAUGGAGUUCUGUUGGCCAGGAGACAGGAGGAAGUGCCGUUAAAGAAGAGAAAACAAUUAAAUGCAUGCACCACAAGCUGAGUGAAGGCAGACUCAACAGUCAACAUCUCCAAAACUCAGCCACUCACACAGAAACUAGAUGGAUAAAAAGCCCUCGAGCAGGUAAGAGGAUACAUAUGUAUUUUGAUUUUGGGUUUUGAUAUCCCUUUAAACGAAAGUGAAUCAAAGUUUAAAGUAAAUUAAAGAUGACUAUAACUACAAUGUGGCUUAUGGAACGUCUUCUUUCACAUGAUUAAGAAAUGAGGAAAGUUUCUGGGUUGCAGAUUGAUGGUGGAUUCUUUUCUCUGACUGCUUUGGUUUGUUUUUGCUCACAGGCUUAGCAAACUAAUUUGGCAGUGUGACAAAAGCAGCGCCGGCUGAGCGGCGUGACUGACCUCUGACCGUCAGUGCAGGCAUGUGAACAACGUCACAGCACACGCUGUUUUUUCUGUGGCUUCAGCCGUUAACCAGCUGCUAAAACCGAGUGAAAUACCACUUCAGUCCACAUGAGUGACGGACUAACUGUGGCCAUUAUGUUCAUCUCCAUAUGGUCCCCCUAUGGUCUCUAUACUGAAAAGAAAUGUGAUGACCUGGUUCGUACUAUUGUCUGCACACCCUUUCCUCUCCUACUCCACAGAUAAACAGACCGCCGCCUGCAGAAGAGACUGCCCUGUGGUUUUGUUUGCUUGACUCACGUUCAACUAGAAUUUCCUCCGACUGACACGCGAGUUUCACAUUUUCAGUGUGCGUAUCGCCAGCUCACAGUCUGAAUAUAGUUCAAAUCCCUGAAGACUCCAGACAUCUGUUUGAAUUACUGAUUGAUAAUACAUCUAUCAUCAGAGUCCCUUCACCUCGUCUACAGUCAAAUUCAAGCACUUUUCAGGCAUUUUUAAGCAGCUUGUGGCAGAUUACAUGAUAAUACACAUAUAUACACUCAAAGCAAUUCUUUCACUUCCUCACAUUGAAACCGAUAUAUAUUUCAUUAUAGCCUUUUACAGGGCGAAAAACAAAAGAGAAAGUUUCAUGUUUGAAUAUGAGUCACCUGUUUCUAAGUAGACUAAACAUCUUCUUGUUAAAAGCUAUGAAGUUUUAAUUCCAAACACUGUGUCUAAAAUUUCAGCACUUUUCGAACUUGUGCUUUUUUAAGGAUUUCCAACAUCUCUCUGAAGCUUGUAUGACCUUUAUUUAUGUGCUAUGAGUUGACAAAAUAAAUCCUGACAUCAUGACGA